CGCUGGCCGAACGUAGGCCUUGAACCGUGGGCAACCCGGCAGGACGCCGGGUUAGCCGCGCUGGGCCAAGGAUGGCCCUUCGCGGCGGCCCACGGUUCAAGGUCUGCGGGCGGGCACAC
rfam:Pseudomonas syringae strain GAW0119 contig15.1, whole genome shotgun sequence.